rnacentral:misc_RNA from 1 species
ACGUUGUGAUUGCGUUGCUCUAGUGUUAGGUUACAGGAAGUUCACCGAGGUUCUUUCGAUUGUACCACACGCUUACAGCGCCAUUUUGGAAAUCAACUUGGCUCUAGUAAAAGUCGUUACAAACCCAACAAAUACUAAGAAACCCUCAAUUUUUCAUCAUGCAGAGAGACGAACCCGGAAAAAUCUUCAUUGGGGGCUUGAGCUGGAACACUGAUGCAGAGGCCUUGAAGUCAUACUUCUGCGCUUUUGGAGAAGUGGUCGAUUGUGUUGUUAUGAAGAACCCACAGACUGGCAAGUCUCGUGGGUUUGGUUUUGUCACAUUCAAGGACCCAAGUGUUCUUGAUGUGGUACUACCAGAAAAACACAAAAUCGAUAACAGAAUGGUUGAUGCUAAACCAUGUAAUGCCAAGCAGGGAGGAGGAGGUGGAGGCGGAGGAGGACGUGGAGGACCAGGAGGACCAUAUGGCCGUGGAGGUGGCGGCGGAGGUCGUGGAGGUUAUGGUGGACAUGGGCAUGGUGGAGGCGAUAGUCGCGGUGGUAUGCAAGGAAAAACAAACAAGAUCUUUCUUGGUGGUAUUCCAAAUGAAGCUAAUGAAGACAGCCUUAGAAACUACUUCAGUCAGUUUGGAGGUGUGACAGAUGUGACGAUAAUGUAUGAUCAAGAAAAAGGCCGUUCUCGAGGCUUUGGGUUUUUGACAUUCGAGAGAGAAGACAGCGUUGAAUUGGUGUGUGGAGAUCAAUUUCAUAUUGUGGACGGGAAGAAGAUUGAAUGUAAACGUGCAGAACCUCGUCAGGGUCGUGAUGGUGGUGGUGGAGGAGGAGGAAGGGGGCGUGGACGUGGUCCACCUGGACUUAUGAUGGGGGGAGGUCCACAUGGACAGGGCCCUCCUCAGUUUGCACCUCCCCAGGGACCUGAUAGCUGGGGACAGGGAGGAAACAACUUUCCACCCCAAGGAGGUCCUCCAGGGGGCCCACCUGGCUACGGAUCUAAUGGGCAAGGUUAUGGGGGUGGCUAUCAAGGCUAUCAACAACAAGGUGGUGGAUAUCAAGGACAGCAAGGUGGUUAUGGAGCCACACCGCCAGCUCCAGGCCAGGGUGCUCCUGGGGCCACCCAGUCCCCUACCCCUGGGGCGGCACCUGCUGCACCUCCACCUUACAAUCAGUGGGCUUCCCCUCCCCCCCGGGGCAGCAGCCCCCUCCACAACAGCCACCACCGCAGGCACCACCACCACAGCAGCAGCAACAGCAACCCCAGCCCCCUACCCCGGCCCCAGGCUAUACAGGUUACCCGCCUCAGGCUCCUGGGGGGCCAAGUUACGGUGGUGUACCCACCAGUCCCACUCAGGCCCCACCCCCCAGACAGCCUGGGGCACCACCAGCUCAGCAGACAUAUGCAGACUUCAACCAAGCUGCUCCAGUGCCCGCUGUAGCACAAAGUUACCAAGGUUACGGUGGUGCCUAUAGCAACGGUCAAGCACAAGCUGCCCCUGUAGUAGAUCCAUAUGCUCAACAGACUCAACAGUCACCAGCCAUGGGACAGUAUGCUCAAGAUGCUAGCAAUUAUGGCCCCAGUCGAACGUAUGGACAGACAGCAACAGCAGGUGCCCCUGCUGGUGGAGCAUACAGUCAACUGGCUUCAUAUGCUCAGCCCACAGGUCAAG